rnacentral:rRNA from 1 species
CCUACGGGGGGCAGCAGUGAGGAAUAUUGGUCAAUGGGCGAGAGCCUGAACCAGCCAAGUCGCGUGAGGGAGUACUGCCCUAUGGGUUGUAAACCUCUUUUGUCGGGGAGCAAAAGCCGGACGUGUCCGGCUGUGAGAGUACCCGAAGAAAAAGCAUCGGCUAACUCCGUGCCAGCAGCCGCGGUAAUACGGAGGAUGCGAGCGUUAUCCGGAUUUAUUGGGUUUAAAGGGUUCGCAGGCGGGUGUUUAAGUCAGCGGUAAAAUCGUGGGGCUCAACCCCAUCCAGCCGUUGAAACUGGGGAUCUAGAGUGUGCGAGAGGUAUGCGGAAUGCGUGGUGUAGCGGUGAAAUGCAUAGAUAUCACGCAGAACCCCGAUUGCGAAGGCAGCAUACCGGUGCACAACUGACGCUCAGGCACGAAAGCGUGGGUAUCGAACAGGAUUAGAUACCCCGGUAGUC